rnacentral:lncRNA from 1 species
UUACACUUGUACAACCGGUAAGGCAACGUCAUGGAAUGUCAAGCCAAAAUAUGCUUCUCGACGAAUCUAAACGUUCCAUAACGUUGCCGAUAAGAGCUGUUACCUGUAUGUGUGAACUUUCACCUUUAAAAUUCAUUUUACAAUAUUUUGAUGUGACUUUGUCGGUAGGUGACGUGACAUUAACGUUCUGUAUAGCGGGAAUCGCUCUUUAUCAAUAUCAACUUAACCUUCUGCCUGUCUUCUGCAUUUGAAGUUUGUAUAUCUUCAAUUUUCUUUACGAAAUCUGUAAUCUAAUCCGCUACAAAACAAUCGUUCCUUCAGACACG